rnacentral:rRNA from 1 species
AGUGAACGCUGGCGGCGUGCCUAAUACAUGCAAGUCGAACGGAGUGGCGCACGGGUGAGUAAUAUAUAGCUAAUCUGCCCCUUGCUGGAGGACAACAGUUAGAAAUGACUGCUAAUACUCCAUAGAAAGGGAUGAGACUAUAUCGUAUCAGCUAUCCGGGGGGGUAACGGGCUACCGAGGCUAUGACGCGUAACUGGUCUGAGAGGAUGAUCAGUCACAUUGGAACUGAGACACGGUCCAAACUCCUACGAGAGGCGGCAGUAGGGAAUAUUGCGCAAUGGGGGAGAACCUGACGCGGCAACGCCGUGUGGAGGAUUAGACUUUUCGGGGCGUAAACUCAUUUUGUUAGGGAAGCGGUACCUCACGAAUAAGCACCGGCUAACUCCGUGCCAGCAGCCGCGGUAAUAC